UAUCAAGAACUUCAAAAUUGUCAAUAGAAGAGGUUCUAGCACGUACAGUUCUGAUGUUUUACUACAAUUUGAUGUCCAACGCAAUGUAAUGUUAUGCUGCAGACAUCGCCGUAGUGUACAACACGGGACAAUCGUAUUUAUAGAUGGUGUUCAUUUCAACAACCUGGGAUUUGAAAUUUUUCCGCAAUGUGAGAGGAAUAAUUUUGAAGUGCAUUGCAGAUAUGUAAUUCACACAUGUACUGGAAGAUACUGUAUUCUAAUUGGUGGCACAUUUGUAUCUAUAUUAUCAUAUAACAACAGCGAAGGCUGCUGCAGCUGAGGAAGCUGCUAAAACCAAACGAAGAACAAACCAAAUUGAGCAGGUUUCAGAAGCUAACACAUCCAAUUUAUCAGAAAAAGACCUGAACACAAUUAUAU